GUGACUGCGUACCUUUUGUAUAAUGGGUCAGCGACUUAUAUUCUGUAGCAAGGUUAACCGAAUAGGGGAGCCGAAGGGAAACCGAGUCUUAACUGGGCGUUAAGUUGCAGGGUAUAGACCCGAAACCCGGUGAUCUAGCCAUGGGCAGGUUGAAGGUUGGGUAACACUAACUGGAGGACCGAACCGACUAAUGUUGAAAAAUUAGCGGAUGACUUGUGGCUGGGGGUGAAAGGCCAAUCAAACCGGGAGAUAGCUGGUUCUCCCCGAAAGCUAUUUAGGUAGCGCCUCGUGAAUUCAUCUCCGGGGGUAGAGCACUGUUUCGGCAAGGGGGUCAUCCCGACUUACCAACCCGAUGCAAACUGCGAAUACCGGAGAAUGUUAUCACGGGAGACACACGGCGGGUGCUAACGUCCGUCGUGAAGAGGGAAACAACCCAGACCGCCAGCUAAGGUCCCAAAGUCAUGGUUAAGUGGGAAACGAUGUGGGAAGGCCCAGACAGCCAGGAUGUUGGCUUAGAAGCAGCCAUCAUUUAAAGAAAGCGUAAUAGCUCACUGGUCGAGUCGGCCUGCGCGGAAGAUGUAACGGGGCUAAACCAUGCACCGAAGCUGCGGCAGCGACGCUUAUGCGUUGUUGGGUAGGGGAGCGUUCUGUAAGCCUGUGAAGGUGUGCUGUGAGGCAUGCUGGAGGUAUCAGAAGUGCGAAUGCUGACAUAAGUAACGAUAAAGCGGGUGAAAAGCCCGCUCGCCGGAAGACCAAGGGUUCCUGUCCAACGUUAAUCGGGGCAGGGUGAGUCGACCCCUAAGGCGAGGCCGAAAGGCGUAGUCGAUGGGAAACAGGUUAAUAUUCCUGUACUUGGUGUUACUGCGAAGGGGGGACGGAGAAGGCUAUGUUGGCCGGGCGACGGUUGUCCCGGUUUAAGCGUGUAGGCUGGUUUUCCAGGCAAAUCCGGAAAAUCAAGGCUGAGGCGUGAUGACGAGGCACUACGGUGCUGAAGCAACAAAUGCCCUGCUUCCAGGAAAAGCCUCUAAGCAUCAGGUAACAUCAAAUCGUACCCCAAACCGACACAGGUGGUCAGGUAGAGAAUACCAAGGCGCUUGAGAGAACUCGGGUGAAGGAACUAGGCAAAAUGGUGCCGUAACUUCGGGAGAAGGCACGCUGAUAUGUAGGUGAAGUCCCUUGCGGAUGGAGCUGAAAUCAGUCGAAGAUACCAGCUGGCUGCAACUGUUUAUUAAAAACACAGCACUGUGCAAACACGAAAGUGGACGUAUACGGUGUGACGCCUGCCCGGUGCCGGAAGGUUAAUUGAUGGGGUCAGCGCAAGCGAAGCUCUUGAUCGAAGCCCCGGUAAACGGCGGCCGUAACUAUAACGGUCCUAAGGUAGCGAAAUUCCUUGUCGGGUAAGUUCCGACCUGCACGAAUGGCGUAAUGAUGGCCAGGCUGUCUCCACCCGAGACUCAGUGAAAUUGAACUCGCUGUGAAGAUGCAGUGUACCCGCGGCAAGACGGAAAGACCCCGUGAACCUUUACUAUAGCUUGACACUGAACAUUGAGCCUUGAUGUGUAGGAUAGGUGGGAGGCUUUGAAGUGUGGACGCCAGUCUGCAUGGAGCCGACCUUGAAAUACCACCCUUUAAUGUUUGAUGUUCUAACGUGGACCCGUGAUCCGGGUUGCGGACAGUGUCUGGUGGGUAGUUUGACUGGGGCGGUCUCCUCCUAAAGAGUAACGGAGGAGCACGAAGGUUGGCUAAUCCUGGUCGGACAUCAGGAGGUUAGUGCAAUGGCAUAAGCCAGCUUGACUGCGAGCGUGACGGCGCGAGCAGGUGCGAAAGCAGGUCAUAGUGAUCCGGUGGUUCUGAAUGGAAGGGCCAUCGCUCAACGGAUAAAAGGUACUCCGGGGAUAACAGGCUGAUACCGCCCAAGAGUUCAUAUCGACGGCGGUGUUUGGCACCUCGAUGUCGGCUCAUCACAUCCUGGGGCUGAAGUAGGUCCCAAGGGUAUGGCUGUUCGCCAUUUAAAGUGGUACGCGAGCUGGGUUUAGAACGUCGUGAGACAGUUCGGUCCCUAUCUGCCGUGGGCGCUGGAGAACUGAGGGGGGCUGCUCCUAGUACGAGAGGACCGGAGUGGACGCAUCACUGGUGUUCGGGUUGUCAUGCCAAUGGCACUGCCCGGUAGCUAAAUGCGGAAGAGAUAAGUGCUGAAAGCAUCUAAGCACGAAACUUGCCCCGAGAUGAGUUCUCCCUGACCCUUUAAGGGUCCUGAAGGAACGUUGAAGACGACGACGUUGAUAGGCCGGGUGUGUAAGCGCAGCGAUGCGUUGAGCUAACCGGUACUAAUGAACCGUGAGGCUUAACCUU
rnacentral:rRNA from 1 species